UAAAUGAGUCGUGCAUGUAUCAUGGUCGGCUUCACUUUAGAACAGACACUCUAAGCUGGAGCUGUCACCUGCUAUGUAUGUCCAGAUGUUACAAAAGAUAACGGUUGUUCACGGCCUCAAACGACAUGUGAGACUGGACACUUCUACGUUUGCUACUCUCGUAUAGCUAUUACAGGAGAUAAUAAACAUGUGGAUCGGGGUUGUAUUUCUCUGUGCCGUAGCUUCCAAAACAGGAACAGAAGGAUUGAAGAAAAUAUGCUAUGCUGUGUGAGAGACUUUUGCAACACACAUGACUUCUGGACUAAUAAUAAAUAAAUGGAUGAGAGUAUUUCUUGAGGUUUGUGAAACCAGGUGGAUUUGCACCACCUUUGGCUUUUGAACAGUUUCGUUAA